rnacentral:tRNA from 1 species
GCCGAAGUAGCUCAGUUGGUAGAGCGACGCUCUCGUAAAGCGUAGGUCGUCGGUUCGAGUCCGAUCUUCGGCU